CGCGGCGUGGAGCAGUCCGGUUAGCUCGCCAGGCUCAUAACCUGGAGGUCGUAGGUUCAAAUCCUACCGCCGCAAC
rnacentral:tRNA from 1 species